rnacentral:rRNA from 1 species
UACGUAGGGGGCAAGCGUUGUCCGGAAUUACUGGGCGUAAAGUGUGCGCAGGCGGCCGCGCAAGUCGAGUGUGAAAUCCCCGAGCUUAACUUGGGAAUUGCGCUCGAAACUACGUGGCUGGAGUGUGGCAGAGGAAGGUGGAAUUCCACGUGUAGCGGUGAAAUGCGUAGAGAUGUGGAGGAACACCGAUGGCGAAGGCAGCCUUCUGGGCCAACACUGACGCUCAGCUGCGAAAGCUAGGGGAGCAAACAGG